rnacentral:rRNA from 1 species
UACAGAGGUCUCAAGCGUUGUUCGGAUUCAUUGGGCGUAAAGGGUGCGUAGGUGGCGCUGUAAGUCGGGUGUGAAAUUUCGGAGCUUAACUCCGAAACUGCAUUCGAUACUGCGGUGCUUGAGGACUGGAGAGGAGACUGGAAUUCAUGGUGUAGCAGUGAAAUGCGUAGAGAUCCGGAAGAACACCGGUGGCGAAGGCGGUCUGCUGGGGUCGAACUGACGCUGAGGCGCGACAGCGUGGGGAGCAAACAGG